GACGAACGCUGGCGGCAGGCCUAACACAUGCAAGUCGAACGAGUGGCGGACGGGUGAGUAAUGUCUGGGAAACUGCCCGAUGGAGGGGGAUAACUACUGGAAACGGUAGCUAAUACCGCAUACCAUCGGAUGUGCCCAGAUGGGAUUAGCUAGUAGGUGGGGUAAUGGCUCACCUAGGCGACGAUCCCUAGCUGGACUGAGAGGAUGACCAGCCACACUGGGACUGAGACGCGGGCCAGACUCAUACGGGAGGCAGCAGUAGGGAAUAUUGCCCAAUGGGCGCAAGCCUGAUGCAGCAAUGCCGCGUGUAUGAAGAAGGCCUUCGGGUUGUAAAGUACUUUCAGCGGGGAGGCGUUACUCGCAGAAGAAGCACCGGCUAACUCCGUGCCAGCCGCCGCGGUAAUAC
rnacentral:rRNA from 1 species